GGUGGAGUGGGCUCUCACUCGGGGAUGCGAGACCACAGUGUCUACUCUGCAGCCGUGAUUAUUGUUAGUUACCAUUUAAUGCUGGUCAACAGAAGACAGAUGGCCUAGAUCCUCAAUGAGAAGGAUUUACAGUCUCUGAGCAAGGACACGAGAGCGACAAAACAAAGCAGGGCAAAAGUUGGAGGCCUUGGGCCCCCGAGGGACGUUCUGGAGAGGACUUUGGACUUUAGCUGCACAAGGAGCUUGAGUUGGCCUCGACCCCCAAGGAACAGAGGAUGCCAGCUGAAAUCCAGUAAGAGAAUCAAAUCCAGGCCUCCUGCCUGGAACUGCAGAACAUUACCAUCAGGCUGGUCCAUUAAAUAUCAUUUGAAAGUCAAUUUUAUCCCAGAGU